GUAAGCAUACCUUAAAGCUUGCGUAAAGGUCCCUUUUUUACUCGAGUGAAGAAAUAGAACGUUUACGCAUGGUUUGAGGUGUGCGUAA
rnacentral:pre_miRNA from 1 species